CACCUCACAGAAGACUGGUUGGAACUUGUCUGGAAUCCAAGUGGAUCACUUGCUUAAAGGACAACAAUGUCAGUGCUCAUACUAGAUCAGAGUCUCAUAACACUGUGUUCAAAAUUUCUAGAGCACAGCUCUACGAACUAGAAUUGUCUUGGCAACCGUCAAAUACCAGUCUCAAGAUUACAUAGAUGUUGGCAUUAUCCAAUAACUUAAAGCAGCUGUUAUUUAAAAAAAAUGUUCCAACAAGUUAGGGAAUACACGUUUGAGAUGGGAAGGUAAAAACGGAGUGGAUUUCUUUGUCUGUUUGUUUGGGUGGUAGAGAUCAAGCCCAAGUUAGAAAAUGCUUAGAAAGUGCUCUAGCACCAAGGCAUAUUCCCAGCCCCCGCAAAUGGAAGCUUUGAAACUGAAAUAUGUGACAACUGAAAUAACUAACCGGACAGGUUCAAUGGCAUGGGAUGGGCAUGCCAGAGAAAAGAGUGAAACUACCCAAUGUGGACGAUUACAAAGGAAAAGGGGGAGGGAGAAGAGGAGGACAGGAGGACAAGGACCUGGGGCGAUACCGAAAAGCCUAGAUUUGUGUUAUUGGAGUCUCAGAAGAAGAUGAGAAAGAAUGUGAUACC